CGUAAUAGCUCACUGGUCGAGUCGGCCUGCGCGGAAGAUGUAACGGGGCUAAACCAUGCACCGAAGCUGCGGCAGCGACGCUUAUGCGUUGUUGGGUAGGGGAGCGUUCUGUAAGCCUGUGAAGGUGUGCUGUGAGGCAUGCUGGAGGUAUCAGAAGUGCGAAUGCUGACAUAAGUAACGAUAAAGCGGGUGAAAAGCCCGCUCGCCGGAAGAC
rnacentral:rRNA from 1 species